rnacentral:rRNA from 1 species
UACAGAGGUCUCGAGCGUUAGGCGGAAUCACUGGGCUUAAAGCGUGUGUAGGUGGAUCGUUAAGUACCUUGUGAAAUCCCACGGCUUAACCUGGGAACUGCAUUCGAGACUGCAUUGCUAGAGUAUGGGAGAGGGAAGUGGAAUUCCCGGUGUAGUGGUGAAAUGCGUAGAUAUCGGGAGGAACACCAGUGGCGAAGGCGACUUCCUGGCCUGUUCUUGACGCUGAGGCGCGAAAGCUAGGGGAGCAAACGGG